rnacentral:rRNA from 1 species
GACGAACGCUGGCGGCGUGCCUAAUACAUGCAAGUCGAACGAACUCUGGUAUUGAUUGGUGCUUGCAUCAUGAUUUACAUUUGAGUGAGUGGCGAACUGGUGAGUAACACGUGGGAAACCUGCCCAGAAGCGGGGGAUAACACCUGGAAACAGAUGCUAAUACCGCAUAACAACUUGGACCGCAUGGUCCGAGUUUGAAAGAUGGCUUCAGCUAUCACUUUUGGAUGGUCCCGCGGCGUAUUAGCUAGAUGGUGGGGUAACGGCUCACCAUGGCAAUGAUACGUAGCCGACCUGAGAGGGUAAUCGGCCACAUUGGGACUGAGACACGGCCCAAACUCCUACGGGAGGCAGCAGUAGGGAAUCUUCCACAAUGGACGAAAGUCUGAUGGAGCAACGCCGCGUGAGUGAAGAAGGGUUUCGGCUCGUAAAACUCUGUUGUUAAAGAAGAACAUAUCUGAGAGUAACUGUUCAGUAUUGACGGUAUUUAACCAGAAAGCCACGGCUAACUACGUGCCAGCAGCCGCGGUAAUACGUAGGUGGCAAGCGUUGUCCGGAUUUAUUGGGCGUAAAGCGAGCGCAGGCGGUUUUUUAAGUCUGAUGUGAAAGCCUUCGGCUCAACCGAAGAAGUGCAUCGGAAACUGGGAAACUUGAGUGCAGAAGAGGACAGUGGAACUCCAUGUGUAGCGGUGAAAUGCGUAGAUAUAUGGAAGAACACCAGUGGCGAAGGCGGCUGUCUGGUCUGUAACUGACGCUGAGGCUCGAAAGUAUGGGUAGCAAACAGGAUUAGAUACCCUGGUAGUCCAUACCGUAAACGAUGAAUGCUAAGUGUUGGAGGGUUUCCGCCCUUCAGUGCUGCAGCUAACGCAUUAAGCAUUCCGCCUGGGGAGUACGGCCGCAAGGCUGAAACUCAAAGGAAUUGACGGGGGCCCGCACAAGCGGUGGAGCAUGUGGUUUAAUUCGAAGCUACGCGAAGAACCUUACCAGGUCUUGACAUACUAUGCAAAUCUAAGAGAUUAGACGUUCCCUUCGGGGACAUGGAUACAGGUGGUGCAUGGUUGUCGUCAGCUCGUGUCGUGAGAUGUUGGGUUAAGUCCCGCAACGAGCGCAACCCUUAUUAUCAGUUGCCAGCAUUAAGUUGGGCACUCUGGUGAGACUGCCGGUGACAAACCGGAGGAAGGUGGGGAUGACGUCAAAUCAUCAUGCCCCUUAUGACCUGGGCUACACACGUGCUACAAUGGAUGGUACAACGAGUUGCGAACUCGCGAGAGUAAGCUAAUCUCUUAAAGCCAUUCUCAGUUCGGAUUGUAGGCUGCAACUCGCCUACAUGAAGUCGGAAUCGCUAGUAAUCGCGGAUCAGCAUGCCGCGGUGAAUACGUUCCCGGGCCUUGUACACACCGCCCGUCACACCAUGAGAGUUUGUAACACCCAAAGUCGGUGGGGUAACCUUUUAGGAACCAGCCGCCUAAGGUGGGACAGAUGAUUAGGGUG